rnacentral:rRNA from 1 species
CAGCCGCCGCGGUAAUACCGGCGGCCCGAGUGGCGGUCACUAUUAUUGGGCUUAAAGCGUCCGUAGCCGGGUUGGGAAGUACUCCGGGAAAUCUGGCCGCUUAACGGUCAGAAUGCCGGAGGAUACUCCCAGCCUAGGGAGCGGGAGAGGCCGAGGGGAUUCCCGGAGUAGGGGGGAAAUCCUAUAAUCCCGGGAGGACCACCUGUGGCGAAGGCGCUCGGCUGGACCGCGUCCGACGGUGAGGGACGAAGGCCAGGGGAGCAAACCGGAUUAGAUACCCGGGUAGUCCUGGCUGUAAACGAUGCGGACUUUGUGUCGGACAAGCUAUGAGCUUGUCCGGUGCCGGAGGGAAACCGUUAAGUCCGCCGCCUGGGGAGUACGGCCGCAAGGUUGAAACUUAAAGGAAUUGGCGGG